AUUGUAGCAAUACAAGGCAGACGGCUCAGUAACCCGUAGUCAACCUACCCUAUGGACGGGAAUAACCUCGGGAAACUGAGUAUAAUGCCCGAUAGAACAUUAUGCCUGGAAUGGUUUAUGUUCCAAAUGAUUUAUCGCCGUAGGAUGGGACUGCGGCCUAUCAGUUUGUUGGUGAGGUAAUGGCCCACCAAGACUAUUACAGGUACGGGCUCUGAGAGGAGUGSCCCGGAGAUGGGUACUGAGACACGGACCCAGGCCCUAUGGGGCGCACCAGGCGAGAAAACUUUGCAAUGUGCGAAAGCACAACAAGGUUAAUCCGAGUGUUUUCUGCUAAAGGAACCUUUUGUUAGUCCUAAAAACACUAUCGAAUAAGGGGUGGGCAAGUUCUGGUGUCAGCCGCCGCGGUAACACCAG
rnacentral:rRNA from 1 species